GGGGGCGAAACGGCUUCGACGGGGAUGUAUAAGCUCAUCGUUGCAUGCCGAGCAUCUGUCAGCUCGUAAAAAAGACGGACUUUUAAAUAUAAUCGCAGACGAUUAUAACUACGCAGUAGCAGCUUAAUAACUGUCAUACUGCCGUCUCAUCAGUCUUCGCCCGUAAGACUGAACCUGAGGCGUCGACUUAACGGGCUGGCUUUCUGGCGGUGUCUGUACGCCAGGCAGUGAGAUUUACAUAGACUAGCACCUGGUCCGCUCUGUUCCCGCGGCCAAUCAGGUGCGAAUCUUCAAGCCGGGAACUAAGCAUGUAGACACGGGAGGGGAGCAUUUGCGGACGCGGGUUCGACUCCCGCCGCCUCCACCA
rnacentral:tmRNA from 1 species